rnacentral:lncRNA from 1 species
UUUUUCUUCUUCGUAGAGUUUUGGGACGACUGAGGCAAUCGCUGCUGAAGUCAGUGUUGUAAUGGUGAAUCGGGAUUUUUAAAUGAAGUGGGUUUGAAUACUCUUGACUGUUUUGUAAAAUCGAGUUACGUCUGUGAUUGAAGGAUUAAAGGGGUGUCUAUAGGAUUGAAUAUGCGGAGUGAAUGAAAUUUAUUGGGUUAAUCUAAUAGGACAGUCAGUGGAUACAAGAUCGUAAGUACAAAGGGGUAUUGAAGAUUAACAGUUUGGGAUGUUCGGGGUUCUCUGUAACGUCUAGAGACCUAUCGACUGGGAAAAAGAAAAAAAAAAAAGACUUCAACAAGCAGUCGAAGAGCAUCCGUAUAGAUUUACGGUACAUUGUUGCAGUCGUUUAUAUUCCAGCAGUCAAAAACUGAUAGACUGCUUGACUAUCGGCAAAUCUCCAUACUACCUUCUACAGCCAGACGCCCGGCGCGUUCUCGAGCAGGAAAGCACGUAAUACGACAUAAGUGGUGAACCCGACGUGAAAGCUUGAGGUAGAAGGUAUUGGAUUUCGGUUGAUUUUAUCUUUAUUUUUAUGGAAAACGAAAAUAAAAAUUUUGAAAUAUUUUUGGGAGAAGUUUCUGGUGGGGAGUCUUCUAAAGGACAAGGUAUGCACAUGGAUCCAUCUAUUGCUAGUUUGUUUCAAGCCUUCUCAUUGUCAAUGCAGCAACAGCAAAGCAAUGAUCGAAAGGAAGCUUUGGCAACCAAAGCAUUGCAAGCAGUGGUCAAUAAAAUUGAUCAAUUUGAUGGGAGGAAUAUUUCAAGGUAUUUAAGAUGUUAUGUUCGUGAAAUGGAAUUAAAUCGGGUUUCUGAGAAGAAAAUGGUUGCACUAUUUGGACUUGCCACGAUACCGGAGAUAAGGGACCACAUUACAUCGAUUACGGAUCGUUGUGGGAAUUCAUGGGAGGAUUUUUUACAUGCAUUGAAAGACGAAUAUUUCUUGGAAGAUGCUGAUCGCGUUACUAAGAAGCUGUUUCUGGGAUGGAUUGAACGGCCCAAUAAGAAUUUGCAAGCAACACAGCUACUAAGGGAAUUUGAGAGGCAGUACUCUCAAUUAUCGAAGGUAGAAAAAUUGACAUUGGAGCCGAACAAAGUUGAUCUAUUUCUUCAAGCUGCUGAUGGAGAAUUGCAAGAGAAAUUAGAACCCCUUCUUGAAGACAAAGAAGAAGAUGAAGGAUUGACAACGAAGUGGAAGAACGUUGAAGAUGCGGUGGGGUUGCUUACAAAAAAAGAAAGGAGGAAAGAUAGGAGCAAUAUUCCGAAAACAGUACAAGCACCCAAAGCUCCUGUACGUACAACACCACCAACAAUGCCUACAGUUCAACCUUCGACAUCCUUGUCAAAGAAAGCAGAUAUGGGUAUGGAAGAAAUUAUNNNNNNNNNNNNNNNNNNNNNNNNNNNNNNNNNNNNNNNNNNNNNNNNNNNNNNNNNNNNNNNNNNNNNNNNNNNNNNNNNNNNNNNNNNNNNNNNNNNNAGGAAUGCGAGAUCUCAAAAUAAAAUGGGCAAGACUUGAAGAGAAUACUUCUAUAAAUAAUUCGAAGAAUGUUUCAAAACAAGGAUAUGUACAAAGAUGCAUUUGGUGUGAUGAUGCUUCACACACUAGAAAAGAUUGCAAUGAAUUUAAUAAUAUGAUACGGCAGGGAAUUAUUUGCUGGAAAGAUGGGAAGAUAGCAUUGAAAGAUAGGGAGGAUCUUCUUCAAACCAAUUUUGGCAAGGGAGGAAUGAGAGCAUUGGUUCAAGAUUACUUAAAAGAGCAUGAAACAGUAGUACAAGAAAGUGCAAGUUAUGGUGCUAGAGUAGAUGAUGAAAUUGGUGGAAGUACGGAAACUAGUGAGUUUUGGGCUUCUGCCGUUUCUACAAUGCAAGAAGGGAAAUUACCUCGAGAAGCGUUAUUGAGAACUGCAGCUACAAUACGAGGUAGAACAGGUUGGGAGGAUCCUGUUGAGUCUCUUUCAGUUCAUGCAUAUAUUGCUAAGAGCCAACAUGAAGCUUUGAUGGAAGAAAAAAGACGAGGAAAUUUUGAUGAUACUAGAGAAGGAAAUUCUUUUAAGAGGUAAACUCGAGGAGACAAGGCUCGGGAGGCAGCUUCACAAGAAUUGCUUGUAAAGGAUACCUCAGCAUCAUUGGGAGAAAAAACAACGGAGACAAAAGAUAAGGGCAAAUCAAUUGCUUAUAAGCUACUUUCUGACAUUGAAGCGGCAACAAAUUUGAAAGGGAUGUUGGAAGAACGUAUAUUAAACGCUAAGGUGGAAUUCACAUUAAAAGAAGUCUUGGGAAUUGCAAAGAAGGAGUUUCAUGAUGUUAUCAUUGACAGCAUUAAGCGAAAGAGGUAAUUAAUGAGCGAAACUGGAAUGAGUCAUGCUAUUGAUGCAAAAAUAUGUAGAGAUGAAGAAGAGGUUGAUAUUGGUUACAAGCAACCAACAAAUGAAAAGAAUGGGUAUAAUCAGUGAGUACGUUUCGAAGAUUCUAGUGACAAGGAAAUGGAAACUUUGAGCCAUUAUACUCGAAAGCAUUGGACAAGGGCAACUACUGAGGUAUUGGUGAAGGUAGGAGAUAUAGAAGAACCAAUAGUUGCUUUGGUGGACCAUGGUUCUGAAAUAAAUCUCAUGUCUAAAGAUCUUUAUAAGAAGCAAAAAUGGCCAAUUGAUAUGGAACAUGGAUGGGCAAUACGAGCAGCUAAUAACACACAAGGCGAAUUAUAUGGAGCUUGUCCAGAUGUCAAAAUUCGGAUUGGGGAUGUUGCGACGGAGCAACAUUUCUUCGUUCAAGAUACAACGUCUUAUCCGUUGAUUUUAGGACAACCUUAUAUCAUGGCAACACGGAUGGAAACAAAAGUACUUGACGAUGGUUCUGCUUAUGCAAGGGUACGGAGCGAAGAUAGGAGGAAAGCUGUACAAUUUCUAACAGUACCUCCUAACCAUGAACGGAAUCGAGAUAGGUUGAAGGAGAAACCAUUGCCAAAGAUUGUUGAAGGAUUUAAGGAUUUUGGGGAGGUACCACUGUAAAGCGAGAUUAUGGAGGUACAAAAGAGGAGGUACUCUUGCGAGAUGAAGGUGCCUUUGAUGCGAGUUUUAUUGGUAUAUUGGAGAAUGGAAAUAUUAUGUAUAAGAAAGUUGAUGAUUUUAAAAGAAAAGAAAGAAAAAGAUUAUAUGAUAUUGAAGGACAGUUACGCAAGAUAGGUACAUUGCAAGAUGAUGAGAGGAUUUUGGGUGUUUAUGAAGAAAAUGGGCUGGAAGAUUCAUUGGAAUUGAUUACAUCUAUUGGGUUAGGGGAUAAUGAUAAGAUUGUUGAGAUUCAUUCGAGAGAGGUUUAUACCAUGCUUGAAUCUUUUCAAGCACCAGAAGUCACAGUAGAGACGAGAUAUAAAACGGCAGAUAAGAAGGUAAAGCCUGUUGCCGGACCAUUACCAGAGGAUUCUAAAGAACAAAUGGGAGAAGUAUCAAAAGAAGCAAGUUUAAGAGAUCCAAUGAGUAUUGGACAUGAGUUUACUGAAGAGACUUUUGAAGAAUUGAAGAUUGGUUCUGAUGGUUCUUUAUUGCCGGAGGAAAUUACUUGCUUCAAAAAGAUGUUGGCUAAACAAGGUAGAUCGUUUGCCUUCGAAUCUCAUGAAAUUGGGUGUGUGGAUCCAAUUAUCAUAACACCUAUGGUUAUCUUCACUGUACCGCAUGUACCUUGGAAUCUAAGACCGAUUCCAGUACCGAGGGCACAUUUACCUAAAUUGGUCGAACUAUUGAAAGAAAAGAUAAAGAUGAAAAUAUUAGAACCUUCAUUUGUGCCGUAUUCUAGUCGAUGGUUUACGGUACCUAAGAAGAAUGGAUCACUACGGUUUAUUCAAGAUAUGCAGCCGGUGAAUGCUGUAACUGUCAAGAAUGCAGAAAUUGGACCUAUUGUGGAUGAAUUUGCUGAAGCGUUUGCUGGAAGGGCGAUCUAUUCAAUGGGUGAUUUGUAUUCAGGUUAUGAUCAAUUUCAACUUGCCGAAGGAAGUAGAGAUAUGACAACGAUGAGCACACCGCUUGGAUUGGUUAGAAUGUGCACUCUUCCUCAAGGCGCGACCAACUCGGUUGCGCAUAUGAUGAAUGGGAUGAAUAAGGUAUUGAGAGAUUUUAUUCCGGAAAAGACUAUGCCUUUUCUGGAUGAUGUUCCUAUAAAAGGGUGCAGAGAAGGAGACAAGGAUGAAACUUUAGCUACGAGGGGGUGUCGCAGAUAUGUUGUUGAUCAUAUACAAGAUUGUGAAAAGAUUUUAACUCGGCUUGGAGAAGUUCAUCUUACAUUAUUGGGUAUGAAGUCCGUAUUUGGAGUGCGAGAGGUUGUAAUUGUUGGACAUUUAUGCGGAUCUUACGGAAGAAAACCAGAUCCGACUAAAGUUGAUGCAAUUGGAAGGAUGAAAGAGGAUUGUGGUUCUUUAACAGAGGUUCGCAGGUUUUUGGGUGCAUGUGUAUUUUAUCGAAUCUGGAUCCUUCAUUUUGCUCACAUAGCGGAUCCAUUAUAUGAACUGUUACGCAAGGGUUAUCGAUUUGAAUGGAAAGAAAGGCAUAUUCAGGCAAUGCAAAGAUUGAAGAAAUUAUUGAUGUCACCUCCAAUAUUGAGGAAGGUUGAUUAUAAGUGCAAUAGACCAGUGAUUCUUACUGUAGACACUAGUCCAAUUGCCGUUGGAUGGGCGGUGGGUCAAGAUGAUUCGAAUGGGAAUAGAUUUGCAGUUCGAUUUGGAGCUAAAGUUUUAAGUAUUCGUCAGCGUGCAUAUUCGCAAGUCAAAAGAGAACUUUGGGGAGUCGUUUCGGCUAUGAAAGCUGAAAAGGACUAUUUGAUUGGGGCAGUAGUAGUAAUUGAAACAGAUUGCUUGCCAUUGCUUGGAAUGAUUAUUAACUGUUCAACGCCAGAUAUUGCAAUGUUGAGAUGGAUUGCUUAUAUUAAGUCACUAAAUCCAGAAUUUAAGCAUAUCACUGGAAAGGACAAUUUAGUAGCAGACAUGCUAUCUCGAGCAAGAUACGAGAGGGAGGACGAAAUGGUUGAAGACAUUGAUGAUGUCGGAUUGAAAUUCUAUUCAAUAUCGAAUCUCAACAGAGAAGACAAGCUAUUUCUUGAAGAAUCUUAUGAAGGAGAAUUAUUGGAUAUUGGUCAUUAUUUGAAUACCUUGUCUAAGCAGGGGAAUUGGUCUACAGAAAAAUUCAAACAAAUAAGAAAAAAAAGCAUAUGGAUUUUUACUUCGAGAUGGAUUCUUAUGGAAGAGACCGAAGAAAGGAAUUGGGAUGCCACAACGAGUGAUAGGCAAAAGGGAAGAAAAACUAAAAUUAUUAAAGGAGUUUCAUGAUAGUUUAUGGGCAGGGCAUAGAGGAAUCUGGGCUACUUUUGCUAAACUCAAGGAACGAUAUUGGUGGAAAAAUAUGUAUCGAGAUGUGCUCUCAUUUGUAGAGUCAUGUGAAAUCUGUCAAUUGUAUUCUAAUAUCCGACAUCGAGAUGGUCUUCAUCCUACGUAUCCUCUGGCUAUUCAUUUUAAAUGGGUUGUUGAUUUGGUUAUUAUGCCGAUUGGGUUAUGGCAGAUGAGAUAUUUGGUUUUAGCUCGUGAAGAUUUAUCAAAUCUAGUAGAAGGAAGAACAUUGAGGACAAAAUCUACAGAGGGGAUUUGUAGGUUUUUGCUUGAAGAUGUCAUUUGCCGUUACGGGUGCGUAGGAAAAAUCACUGCAGAUCGUGGAGAAUUAAAUGCACAAGAAGCUCGUAAGUUCUUUGAAAAAUGUGGAGUUAAACUAUCACUGACUACUGCUUAUAAUCCGGAAGGGAAUACGAAAAGCGAACGCGGUCACCCGCCGAUUGUGAAAGCAUUGGUUAAAGCUUGUAAUGGGAAGGUUAAAGAGUGGCCACGGCUUUUGUCAUUUGCAUUAUGGGCUGAUCGAACAACACAUAGUUUGAUGACAGGAUAUAUGCCAGUAGAACUUAUGACAGGUCAAAAACCAAUUAUGCCGAUUGAAGAAAAGGUACUUACUUGGAGUAUGUUACCAUGGAAAGAUGGAUUGACAAGAGAAGAACUUCUGGCUAUUAGGAUUCGACAAUUGGAGCAAAGAACGGAAGAUGUCCAGAUAGCAUUGGAAAGGUUAAAAAGAGCAAGGUUACAAAACAAGGCGCGAUUCGAUAAGCAACAUCGAUUGAGACCAAAAGCAAUCGAGGAAGGUGACUGGGUACUUGUUUAUGACAAUAGUCUGGAUAAUCAACAUAGUACUUUGCGGAAAUUUUUAAAACGUUGGUUUGAACCAUAUGUUAUAACAACUGUUCAUGAUAAUGCGACUUACUCAUUACGGGAUGUUAGAUGGUACAAAAUUGAAAAUACCAAUUGCAGGGAAGCGAGUAAAAAUAUUUAAACGAAGACACGCAGAGAUGAAUAUGGAAGACCUUAAUGAAGGUACAGAGAUUCCGCAGCAAGAAGAUGAAAGUGAUAUGGAUAAUGAAGGUGACGAAGACGAACUGGACAAAGACGUAGGGGAUAUAUUCUGAAUCAAACAGCAAUUGGGUAAAUUGGUGCAUACCGAAGGAUGCACAGGUUCAGAGGGGGUGGAUGUCGUGUUGUAACACGAGUAUACAGUGAAAAUAAAAAGAAAGGGGAAUUUUAUUAAUAUUCAGUUACCUCGAAUAUUGGGAGCAUCAACCAACUCCAGUACAAAUACUGAGUGGUCAGGUUCAGUCACUCCGUUACAGUCAGCCGGGGCAUACUGAAAUGCUCCAUUCGAUUCCAAUAACAGGAGUCAGCAGGAAGAGAAGGACCAAUUCACACGACGGGUUUGAGGAGCCAAUUGGAUCCAAUUUCGAUAAUCCAAUCCGGGUCCUCUUACCCAAUAUGAGACCUGUAUUGGUGGGUCAACCCAAUGCAGUCUAAUUACGGGAAAUCCAGGUCUUACUACGGAUCUUAGCCAAUCUGACGUGAGGACCAAUUUGACCCAAUUACGGGAACAUCCAGGGUACUACGGGCAUCUUUUCCAAUAUAGGACCUGAAUUGGUCGGGCGACUCAAUGUGGUCCCGAUUACGGGGUUCGAUUCUGUUUCAGGAUGUCCUGUUCUCUGUGCCGUUUUAGGGAACGUUGUUUUCGGUAAAUGGAUUUUUUAAAGGUAAAAACGGAGAAGAAAGCUUGACGGCGAGAGCCAAUUUUGGAUCCAAGCUUGAGGUGGGAGCCAAUUCCGGAUCUAAGACGGAAGAUUGAAGAAAUUCAGAGGAUAAGGUUAGGGGGGGAUAUAGUUUUGAGGGGGGAAGGUUUUUUUUUCGGGGGGAAUCGGGGGGGGAGCGAGUUUUCAAGCUUUUGCAAGGUUACCAGUUCGGUUUUUCAUUGGAGGUUUUUGGAAGAUCAGGGGAAUUAGAGAGAGGAGCUUCAUGCUUCGGAUCGUGGAAGGAAAGACAUAGAAUUUGGAUUUUUCUUCUUCGUAGAGUUUUGGGACGACUGAGGCAAUCGCUGCUGAAGUCAGUGUUGUAAUGGUGAAUCGGGAUUUUUAAAUGAAGUGGGUUUGAAUACUCUUGACUGUUUUGUAAAAUCGAGUUACGUCUGUGAUUGAAGGAUUAAAGGGGUGUCUAUAGGAUUGAAUAUGCGGAGUGAAUGAAAUUUAUUGGGUUAAUCUAACAGGACAGUCAGUGGAUACAAGAUCGUAAGUACAAAGGGGUAUUGAAGAUUAACAGUUUGGGAUGUUCGGGGUUCUCUGUAACGUCUAGAGACCUAUCGGCUGGG